rnacentral:snRNA from 1 species
AAUGCAAUAUCUUUGUAAUCU